GUGCCAGCAGCCGCGGUAAUACGUAGGGNNNNAGCGUUGUCCGGAAUUACUGGGCGUAAAGAGCCCGUAGGCGGUUUGUCGCGUCGUCUGUGAAAUUCCGGGGCUUAACUCCGGGCGUGCAGGCGAUACGGGCAUAACUUGAGUGCUGUAGGGGAGACUGGAAUUCCUGGUGUAGCGGUGAAAUGCGCAGAUAUCAGGAGGAACACCAAUGGCGAAGGCAGGUCUCUGGGCAGUAACUGACGCUGAGGAGCGAAAGCAUGGGUAGCGAACAGGAUUAGAUACCCUGGUAGUCCAUGCCGUAAACGGUGGGCGCUAGGUGUGGGGGUCUUCCACGACUUCUGUGCCGUAGCUAACGCAUUAAGUUCCCCGCCUGGGGAGUACGGCCGCAAGGCUAAAACUCAAAGGAAUUGACGGGGACCCGCACAAGCGGCGGAGCAUGCGGAUUAAUUCGAUGCAACGCGAAGAACCUUACCAAGGCUUGACAUAUACCGGAAACGGCUGGAAACAGUCGCCCCCUUGUGGUCGGUAUACAGGUGGUGCAUGGUUGUCGUCAGCUCGUGUCGUGAGAUGUUGGGUUAAGUCCCGCAACGAGCGCAACCCUCGUUCUAUGUUGCCAGCACGUUAUGGUGGGAACUCAUGGAAUACUGCCGGGGUCAACUCGGAGGAAGGUGGGGAUGACGUCAAAUCAUCAUGCCCCUUAUGUCUUAGGCUUCACGCAUGCUACAAUGGCCGGUACAAAGGGCUGCGAUACCGUAAGGUGGAGCGAAUCCCAAAAAGCCGGUCCCAGUUCGGAUUGAGGUCUGCAACUCGACCUCAUGAAGUCGGAGUCGCUAGUAAUCGCAGAUCAGCAACGCUGCGGUGAAUACGUUCCCGGGUCUUGUACACACCGCCCGU
rnacentral:rRNA from 1 species